rnacentral:rRNA from 1 species
UACGUAGGGUGCAAGCGUUAAUCGGAAUUACUGGGCGUAAAGCGUGCGCAGGCGGUUGUGCAAGACCGAUGUGAAAUCCCCGGGCUUAACCUGGGAAUGGCAUUGGUGACUGCACGGCUAGAGUGUGUCAGAGGGGGGUAGAAUUCCACGUGUAGCAGUGAAAUGCGUAGAGAUGUGGACGGAAUACCGAUGGCGAAGGCAGCCCCCUGGGAUAACACUGACGCUCAUGCACGAAAGCGUGGGGAGCAAACAGG